UACGAAGGUGGCAAGCGUUGUUCGGAUUUACUGGGCGUAAAGGGAGCGUAGGUGGUUAGGUAAGCCCUCCGGGAAAUCUUCAGGCUUAACCUGAAAAGGUCGGGGGGGACUGCCUAGCUAGAGGGCGGGAGAGGAGCGCGGAAUUCCCGGCGUAGCGGUGAAAUGCGUAGAGAUCGGGAGGAAGGCCGGUGGCGAAGGCGGCGCUCUGGAACGUUUCUGACACUGAGGCUCGAAAGCGUGGGGAGCAAACAGG
rnacentral:rRNA from 1 species